rnacentral:lncRNA from 1 species
CAUACCUUAACCAAACAGCGGUUUGCGGUAGCGACUGACCCAUUUGGGCAAGAGUGUGUGUACGCAAGCUGAAUUUGAUCUUUUUCUGCUAAAAUGCACGAAGAAGCUACAAGAACAAAUAGAAACAUGGAAAAAUUGUGCAGGUUAAAUGGAAGUUUUUCGGGAUCGAUUUGUUGAGAAGGCUUGAAACACAUGAACAUGCUAUGGAGGCACAUAGACAAGCGUGUCAUAAGGAUCAUGUAUAACAGGUCAUCGAGUCAUGCAUGUUAUGUGGUGAAAAUAUAAUGCACGGUGGUGAAGAAUAUUCGUCGAGGUAGAGUUUAUUGAAAUUGUGUCGAAUAUAGUAGCCAAGGUAGAUUACAGUUUAAGCAAGAUAUAAAACCGUGUCCUAAUAGGACACUUGUAUCUUUGACCUCUUAUAUAUAACGAGGUUAGACACACGAUGUAAUCUAUGCCAUCUUGUUACAGCGGACGGUGGGCAUCAAGCAAAUCAAAGGCCUAACAUCAACACGGCUCGCGUCCGAGCCGUCAAAGAGAUGGUGGCGAAGUAGACCGUCCGGCGUGCGGGAUAGGCUAGGAGCAUAGUAACGUCCCGAACAGGCAGAUUCGGUUGUGCCCUCGGCGAUGAUCUAGACGGCCGGCAACUGAGCCGCGGCCUGGCCUGCAUAAAGUGGAGUUGCAGGUUAAUUAGAACGAUGGCCAUGCGAGAGGACUGGACUUCACGCCAAGAUCACGUGCUCGUCGCUCGAUCAUAGCUACAGAAAAGGAUGGCUUUGUUUUUUCCACGGUUGUGAGCAAUUUAUUGGAAGGGGAAAAACUGAUGCUUUUAUAUGGGUAUGUCGAAAGAGGCAGGCGGUCUUUUUUUUAGGGAGAGCGCUUGUUCCGAUAUUACCUUGGAAACGGAACCAUUAUUGACAUAUACGUUUUUUGUUAAAAACGAAGCAGCCGUACGACUUUCGCUGAACUAUAUUGGCAUUUAUGUCUCAAAAAAUCCUAAAGAUUUCUUUUUUUUAAUAUUUGAUCAGACAUGAGGAGGUAAGACUGCAUGAGGUGUGAUAUGGCUAGAUGUGAUUGGGUGCUGAGAUAUCUAUGCUGCAUGUUGAGAUAAAUUAAGUAGUGGGAAUAAAUUUCCUUAAUAUGCGCUGAGAUAUCUAUGCUGCAUGUUGAGAUAAAUCAAGU